CCUACGGGGGGCAGCAGUGGGGAAUAUUGCACAAUGGGCGCAAGCCCGAUGCAGCCAUGCCGCGUGUGUGAAGAAGGCCUUCGGGUUGUAAAGCACUUUCAGCGGGGAGGAAGGCGUUAAGGUCAAUAACCUUGUCGAUUGACGUUACCCGCAGAAGAAGCACCGGCUAACUCCGUGCCAGCAGCCGCGGUAAUACGGAGGGUGCAAGCGUUAAUCGGAAUUACUGGGCGUAAAGCGCACGCAGGCGGUCUGUCAAGUCGGAUGUGAAAUCCCCGGGCUCAACCUGGGAACUGCAUUCGAAACUGGCAGGCUAGAGUCUUGUAGAGGGGGGUAGAAUUCCAGGUGUAGCGGUGAAAUGCGUAGAGAUCUGGAGGAAUACCGGUGGCGAAGGCGGCCCCCUGGACAAAGACUGACGCUCAGGUGCGAAAGCGUGGGGAGCAAACAGGAUUAGAUACCCCAGUAGUC
rnacentral:rRNA from 1 species